rnacentral:rRNA from 1 species
UACGUAGGUGGCAAGCGUUGUCCGGAUUUACUGGGCGUAAAGAGCGCGCAGGCGGUCGCUCAAGUCGCGUGUGAAAGCCCCCGGCUCAACUGGGGAGGGUCACGCGAUACUGAUCGACUCGAAGGCAGGAGAGGGUAGUGGAAUUCCACGUGUAGCAGUGAAAUGCGUAGAUAUGCGGAGGAACACCGAUGGCGAAGGCAAUCCCCUGGGCCUGCACUGACGCUCAUGCACGAAAGCGUGGGGAGCAAACAGG